UCCGGUUGCGCUGGGUUUAGUCUUCACCACUCUGCUGCCUUCAUGGUAAUAUUCACCAUUGCCAGUAGCUACUUUUUUCAGACCGCUUGCUUUCCCAGGCUUCAAAUAAUCACCUGUAGCACCCUGAUUAUUUUCAAUAUGAUCAGCUGACUGGUCUUUGCUUCUCCUUUUCUUUGGCGCGACAUUUGCUGAUGUACCAGGUUCACUGCAAAAGAUGGUUGAUGUAACAUCCAUGCUAACAUAUAUGUAAUGCAUGUGCAUAAGUAAAAUUGUGUUGCUGCCAAUCUGAUCUGCUGAUUCAAUAAAACUGGCUCAGAACAUCCAUGCUGCUACAUAUGAAAAUUGCCCCCAUAUUAU
rnacentral:lncRNA from 1 species